rnacentral:snRNA from 1 species
AUUGCUUCUCGGCCUUUUGGCUAAGAUCAAGUGUAGAAUUGAGCACAUGGCAAGAGCUAAAUAAAUUGUAGAUUUUCUUAUUACUUCUACAACUAUUAGGUUGGUGCAAAGGUAAUUGUGGUUUUUUUGCAAUUAUUUUUAACCUUUGAAACCGCAAUUACUUUUGCACCAACCUAAUACCAUGCAUUAAAGUGCUGAGGGUGGCUAUUG